AGCCUUUUCCGGUUCAUAAGCAUGAUGAUUGGGCAUUGACACAUUGGUGUGACAUGUGCCUCGUUUAAAUCUUGUUAGGCAUCUGGCACAUUACCCAUCUGACA